rnacentral:rRNA from 1 species
UACGUAGGGUGCAAGCGUUGUCCGGAAUUAUUGGGCGUAAAGAGCUCGUAGGCGGUUUGUCACGUCGGAUGUGAAACCUCGGGGCUCAACCCCGAGCCUGCAUACGAUACGGGCAGACUUGAGUACGGCAGGGGAGACUGGAAUUCCUGGUGUAGCGGUGAAAUGCGCAGAUAUCAGGAGGAACACCGGUGGCGAAGGCGCCGCUCUGGGCCGAUACUGACGCUGAGGAGCGAAAGCGUGGGUAGCAAAUAGG